rnacentral:rRNA from 1 species
CUAUGGGAGGCAGCAGUGGGGAAUAUUGCACAAUGGGCGCAAGCCUGAUGCAGCCAUGCCGCGUGUAUGAAGAAGGCCUUCGGGUUGUAAAGUACUUUCAGCGGGGAGGAAGGGAGUAAAGUUAAUACCUUUGCUCAUUGACGUUACCCGCAGAAGAAGCACCGGCUAACUCCGUGCCAGCAGCCGCGGUAAUACGGAGGGUGCAAGCGUUAAUCGGAAUUACUGGGCGUAAGGCGCACGCAGGCGGUUUGUUAAGUCAGAUGUGAAAUCCCCGGGCUCAACCUGGGAACUGCAUCUGAUACUGGCAAGCUUGAGUCUCGUAGAGGGGGGUAGAAUUCCAGGUGUAGCGGUGAAAUGCGUAGAGAUCUGGAGGAAUACCGGUGGCGAAGGCGGCCCCCUGGACGAAGACUGACGCUCAGGUGCGAAAGCGUGGGGAGCAAACAGGAUUAGAUACCUCGUAGUC